rnacentral:rRNA from 1 species
ACGGGUGAGUAACGCGUGGGUAACCUGCCUCAUACAGGGGGAUAACAGUUAGAAAUGACUGCUAAUACCGCAUAAGCGCACAGUGCUGCAUGGCACAGUGUAGAAAACUCCGGUGGUAUGAGUGGACCCGCGUCUGAUUAGCUAGUUGGUGGGGUAACGGCCUACCAAGGCGACGAUCAGUAGCCGGCCUGAGAGGGUGAACGGCCACAUUGGGACUGAGACACGGCCCAAACUCCUACGGGAGGCAGCAUG